rnacentral:rRNA from 1 species
UACGGAGGGUGCAAGCGUUAUCCGGAUUCACUGGGUUUAAAGGGUGCGUAGGCGGGCAGGUAAGUCAGUGGUGAAAUCCUUGAGCUUAACUCGAGAACUGCCAUUGAUACUAUCUGUCUUGAAUAUUGUGGAGGUAAGCGGAAUAUGUCAUGUAGCGGUGAAAUGCUUAGAUAUGACAUAGAACACCUAUUGCGAAGGCAGCUUACUAGCAUAUAUUGACGCUGAGGCACGAAAGCGUGGGGAUCAAACAGG